AAGGUCAAACAAAAUGUUGGAAUUGAAAAAAUUAGAGAAUUGGUGUUCGUUCAACCGGUGAGAGAAAAGUGAGAGAGAACCAGAGCAUCGACGGUUUCUAUUAACACGACGGCGGAGACUAGACGGAUGUCGAUUAUAUUCAAAGAGAAUACAUCCAACUUUGAUUACCCUCAAAGCAAAUAGCUUGCGAACGGUGGUGUUGGGGAUGUCGGUGGCGCAAAGAAGAGAUCUGAGCCACGGUGAGGCUAUCAUUUGAUCGAUCCCAAAACCAAGAUUUGGUUCCCGUGAUGAGAAGGUCUAGUUCUGCCGCAACAGGGACUAAUACCACCGCCACAAAGCACUCGACGCGGAAGAAGUUUUGCAAGCAAGGAAAACUCUAUGAUGUUGAAGCUUAUAUCCAUGUUUUGCUCCCCAAUGAUCAUGUUGGAUGCGGUUUUAGUUUAGGCAUUUUGGUCGAUGCUCUAUGUUGUUAGAUGGUAUCAAAGUGGUGAUGAUGGUACAGAGACGACGGAGGACGUGACUGAGAGACAUGGUGGAAGUAUAAUAAUUUAGAGGUUUAGAGGUAGAAGAAACAAACCAAAGACAAUGGUAGAAGUAUAAUGAUGUUUGAUUUUUGAAUAUGUGAUUGUAUUUCUAUUAGACAAGUUAAUAGUUGUUGAGGUAGUUGUGAUUGAGUUUGCUACAUGUUCUCUCUUUAGUUUUCAGAAAAUUCAAGAAAGGAUUCUACGAA